UCUACUAAAAUUUAUUAUAAAUACAGCCUGGCUGGUAGGUUUCUUGCUAGUUAGAUUUUAAUGACUAUAGCAGAUUCUGUACUCAAAUUAUAUAAUAUCUGACCAUACAGCAGAGUUCAUCAAGUCAACCGUGAAUACCUGUUAGCGUGUCAUCUUUAACAACCAAUUUAGUCUGUUAAAUUUGUCAUUCGCUUAAUUUUAGAUUCUGAAAUGCAGAAGUAUGUGUAUCGCAGUUAGAAGUUAGUUAACAAGAAACAGACCAAAGUGGUACAAAUCUCUGCAAUCAGUUCACAAAAUUUAAUCAAAGUUAUUUUGAAAAUAUUGGAAAACUCUGAAACAAGAAAGAUGUCAUUUCAAGAAAGAUAAACAGACUUGGACGAUUAGGUGGCAGAGAUGUCCUGUCCAUCGUUAUAAACAUCAUGAAGAAUCUCAGUGUCACUUAAGUACAACGCCGUUACAAUUGGACAGGAUAAAAAGGCAAGCGUGAAUUAGGGGCACAUGCUACAGCUACCAUUGUUUUUAAUCCAGUCAGAAGAAAUCCAAUCCCCAUAAACAUUGCCACAUGGGGACCAUAUGGGGAAUAAAUGGGCUGUGGGCCCAAGUGAUACCACAAGGUCCCCAUAUAGGACCCAUAUUAUCUUACCACAUACAAAUGUACGCAAAUACACUUUAUUUUCAUAUAUAUAUUAAUAUCACAGAGACAAGCCAAAUGAUAUAAUGGUUACUUCUUUUUUUACAUUGAUAUUCUGACCGUGUAGUGUGUGUAUCUGGGGCCAAUAUGGGAUCUAUAUGGGAUUUCCCACAUUAACAACUCUCUUUUUGUACACUUGGGGCCAAUAUGGUGUCCAUAUGGGAUUACCCGUGUGUGUAUCUGGGGAUAAUAUGGUAUCUGUAUAGGAUUACAUAUAACUUUUGCAUAUCUGGGCCAACAUGGUAUCUAUAUGGGAUUACUUAUUAGACGAUGUAUGAGUUCAUUUUUAAAUCCAUACUUUUAGUUGUGUAUAUAUUGAAAUCACAGACAUAAACUAAAUGAUAUAAUGGUUACUUCUUAUUUACAUUGAUAAUCUGACCGUAUAGUGUGUGUAUCUGGGGCCAAUAUGGGAUCUAUAUGGGAUUUCCCACAUUAACAACUCUGUUUUUGUACACUUGGGGCCAAUAUGGCGUCCAUAUGGGAUUACCCGUGUGUGUAUCUGGGGAUAAUAUGGUAUCUGUAUGGAAUUACAUAUAACUUUUGCAUAUCUGGGGCCAACAUGGUAUAUAUAUGGGAUUACUUAUCAGUCUAUGUAUGAGUUCAUUAUUGAAUCCAUACUUUUAGUUGUGUAUAUAUAAAUAUCACAGAGAUAAGCCAAGUGAUAUAUUGGUUACUUCUUUUUUACAUUGAUAAUCUGACCGUAUAGUGUGUGUAUCUGGGGCCAAUAUGGGAUCUAUAUGGGAUUUCCCACAUUAACAACUCUGUUUUGUAUACAUG